rnacentral:lncRNA from 1 species
CUUCCUGAGCUGUAUAAGACAAUGAAUAUUUUGGAAAGAAGACAAAUGCCAUUUCUUCUUAUAGAAGUAAAUAAUAAUUAAAAAUUUGAGGUGGAAGAAGUUUUAGACUCAAAGAGAUGCUGAAAUAGAUUGGAAUAUCUUGUUCAUUGGCACAGUGUCGUAAUACGUGAAGUCUUGCUUGAGAAUGCUCCGGGCACCUGGCUAUGGAAGGAAGAAUGGAAAUUGUAAUAACAAAAUCCUAAUUCUAAUAGAAUACUAACAAUGCUCUAAUUAGACCAUAAUCAUACUAAGCAAGCUUUAUCAAAUUCAAAAAAACCUCAAAGAAAUUUCAAACAAACAAUAAGAAUUCUUAAAGAAAUAUUAGAAAGAUCACAAAUAUCACUCAAAUAUAUCUCAAUUCAAUCUUAAUUUAAUUCUAGUUAAAAUCCUAUUAAACUUUAUUGAAACUUUAGGCCAAAACUAAUUGAAUCUUAAAUCUUAAUAAAAUCCUAAACCCUAAAUCAAACCCUAAACAAACCUUAAACCAAAUCUCAACCAAAUCCUAAACCAAAUCCUAACCAAAUCCUAAACCAAAUCCUAAUCAAAUCCUAAACCAAACCCUAAAUCCUAAAUAAAAUCUUAACUAAAUCCUAAACCAAACCCUAAUCUAAAUCCUAAAUCCUAAACCAAACCCUAACCAAAUCCUAAUCCAAACCCUAAUCAAACCUUAAACCAAAUUCUAACCAAACCCUAGUAAUUCCUACAACAGAUUUGAACCUCAAUAACUAAUUAAUAAACCGUUGAUCUUAACUAAAAUUUUGCACACUUCUUAAAAACUAAGUUCAAAACAAGCACAAAAAAAUUGAAAAGGAUGAGAGUUACCAAAUUGACAAUAACCUCAAAAAUGUGCUUGGGUAUUGGCCGGCCUCCUUCAAACUUGAUGCCAAUCUUCCAGAGCCAAUAUCUCUCUUUUACACCGUUCGAUUCAUCUCAAAAUUCUCAUACACAUAGAAAAACAAGUCUUAUAUCCUCUCACACAAGUUUCACUCCAAUCCAACUAGUAGAUUGCACGAAAUCUCAAAAAAUCCUACUGGACCUAAAAUUCUAUUUUCUAAGUCCUUGAUCCACUUAAACCUCAAUAUCCCUCAAUUCAACUGUUAGAUCGAGCUCAAAUUUAUGACUUAUAUUAAA